rnacentral:lncRNA from 1 species
UGUCUCAGCCUCCUGAGUAGCUGGGAUUAGGUGUGCACCACCAUGCCUGGCUAAGUUUUGUAUUUUUAGUAGAGAUGGGGUUUCACCAUAUUGGUUAGGCUGGUCUCAAACUCCUGACCUCAGGAGAUCCACCUGCCUCAGCCUUCCAAAGUGCUGGGAUUACAGGUGUGAGCCACCACGCUCAGCUGACAUUUGGUUAUUUUGAUUUUUUUGUUAUAUUACAAAUAAUGUUAUUAAAGCACUUGUGAUACAAGUGUCUCUUUGGGUCAUGGGCACACAAUUCAGUUGGGUAUAAACCUAAGAAUGGAAUCAUUAGGUCAUAGGGUAAGCAUAUCUUCAACUUCACUGGAAAAUAUCAGUUCCCAAAGUAGUAAUUGCCUAAAUUUACAUUCUCAUCAGCAGUGUAUUAAAGUUUCCAUGGCUCCUCAUACUUGCUAACACUUGGUAUUGUCAGCUGUCUUUGUUUUAGCCAUCUGGGUGUAUGUCCUUAUUCUUUGAAUACGAAUUUCCUUGAUUACUAAUGAGGAUAAACCCUUUUUCAUUACAUAUAUGUGAAUACACAUAUACAUAAAUAUAUACAGUAUACAUACUGUAUAUGUGUAUAUGAAAACAUAUAUAUACAUAAAUAUAUAUGUAUAUAUACUGUACAUAUUAGGCUAUCUGGAGUUCUUCUUUUCUGAAUUGCCUGUUCAAGUCUCUUGCUCAUUUUUCUAUUGAGUUGUCUGUUUUUUCUUAAUGGUGCAUAGCUCUCCUGUAUGUAUUUUGUAUUUAACUGAUAGCUGUUUUGCAAAUAUAUUCUCCCAGUUGUGGUUUGCUUUUUCACUCUAUUAAUGAUUGUUUUUGGUAAAGAGAAAUUCUUAAAUGUUUAAUGCUAAUAUAAUAAAAUCUAUUUAACCUUU